rnacentral:tRNA from 1 species
GCCUUCAUGGUGUAAUUAGAAGCAUGCUCGAUUCGUACUCGAGAGGUUUAGGGUUCGAUUCCCGGCGACGGCA